rnacentral:rRNA from 1 species
GAUGAACGCUGGCGGCGUGCCUAACACAUGCAAGUCGAGCGAACAGACGAGGAGCUUGCUCCUCUGACGUUAGCGGCGGACGGGUGAGUAACACGUGGAUAACCUACCUAUAAGACUGGGAUAACGGCGGGAAACCGGAGCUAAUACCGGAUAAUAUAUUGAACCGCAUGGUUCAAUAGUGAAAGACGGUUUUGCUGUCACUUAUAGACGGAUCCGCGCCGCAUUAGCUAGUUGGUAAGGUAACGGCUUACCAAGGCAACGAUGCGUAGCCGACCUGAGAGGGUGAUCGGCCACACUGGAACUGAGACACGGUCCAGACUCCUACGGGAGGCAGCAGUAGGGAAUCUUCCGCAAUGGGCGAAAGCUUGACGGAGCAACGCCGCGUGAGUGAUGAAGGUCUUCGGAUCGUAAAGCUCUGUUAUUAGGGAAGAACAAAUGUGUAAGUAACUAUGCACGUCUUGACGGUACCUAAUCAGAAAGCAACGGCUAACUACGUG